rnacentral:rRNA from 1 species
GGGAUUUCCUCAGUAACGGCGAGUGAAGCGGUAACAGCUCAAAUUUGAAAGCUAGCUCUUUUAGGGUUCGCAUUGUAAUUUGUAGAAGAUGUUUCGGGUGUGGCCCCGGUCUAAGUUCCUUGGAACAGGACGUCAUAGAGGGUGAGAAUCCCGUAUGUGACUGGGUGCUUUCGCUCAUGUGAAACUCUUUCGACGAGUCGAGUUGUUUGGGAAUGCAGCUCAAAAUGGGUGGUAAAUUUCAUCUAAAGCUAAAUAUUGGCCAGAGACCGAUAGCGCACAAGUAGAGUGAUCGAAAGAUGAAAAGCACUUUGGAAAGAGAGUUAAACAGUACGUGAAAUUGUUGAAAGGGAAGCGCUUGCAACCAGACUUGCGCGCUGAUGAUCAUCCGGGCUUCUGUCCGGUGCACUCGUCUGCGCUCAGGCCAGCAUCGGUUUUGGUGGUGGGAUAAAGGCCUUGGGAAUGUAGCUCCUCUCGGGGAGUGUUAUAGCCCUCGGUGCAAUGCCGCCUACCGGGACCGAGGACCGCGCUUCGGCUAGGAUGCUGGCGUAAUGGUUGUAAGCGACCCGUCUUGAAACACGGACCAAGGAGUCUAACAUCUAUGCGAGUGUUUGGGUGUCAAACCCAUACGCGUAAUGAAAGUGAACGGAGGUGAGAACCCUUAAGGGUGCAUCAUCGACCGAUCCUGAUGUCUUCGGAUGGAUUUGAGUAAGAGCAUAGCUGUUGGGACCCGAAAGAUGGUGAACUAUGCGUGAAUAGGGUGAAGCCAGAGGAAACUCUGGUGGAGGCUCGCAGCGGUUCUGACGUGCAAAUCGAUCGUCAAAUUUGCGUAUAGGGGCGAAAGACUAAUCGAAC